AGCGUGUUAAUUUAAUGGUAGAAUAUUAUGAUACGGCCAUAAUAGCAUAAGUUCAAAUCUUAUACACGUUG